AUUGAACGCUGGCGGCAGGCCUAACACAUGCAAGUCGAACGGUAACAGGAAGCAGCUUGCUGCUUCGCUGACGAGUGGCGGACGGGUGAGUAAUGCCUGGGAAACUGCCUGAUGGAGGGGGAUAACUACUGGAAACGGUAGCUAAUACCGCAUAACGUCGCAAGACCAAAGAGGGGGACCUUAGGGCCUCUUGCCAUCGGAUGUGCCCAGAUGGGAUUAGCUAGUAGGUGGGGUAACGGCUCACCUAGGCGACGAUCCCUAGCUGGUCUGAGAGGAUGACCAGCCACACUGGAACUGAGACACGGUCCAGACUCCUACGGGAGGCAGCAGUGGGGAAUAUUGCACAAUGGGCGCAAGCCUGAUGCAGCCAUGCCGCGUGUAUGAAGAAGGCCUUCGGGUUGUAAAGUACUUUCGGCGGGGAGGAAGGGAGUAAAGUUAAUACCUUUGCUCAUUGACGUUACCCGCAGAAGAAGCACCGGCUAACUCCGUG
rnacentral:rRNA from 1 species